ACUUACCUACCUAACAUUAACCCUGUUAAUUGCAAAACCAGCAGAAUUCUCCAGUCUAGCCCUUUGCAGUCUCUUACAUUUAACACUCAUUUUUGUGUAAAUGAUUUCUUUGUUUGAAACCUUAACAGCUCUAUAAAUACAGAUUUCCAAUUCUUUGUUUGGGGCUCUUGAUAAUUAGUGGACCCCUCCUAGUUUUCCAGGAAAUUCCUUAAAAAAAAAAAAAAAAAAAACUUUAGCUGUUAAAAACAAUGACUUGAAUAUAGAAUAGUAAUUACUAGAUAUUGGGAAGGGUGGAAUCUUGGGGUUGAUAAAGGCAGUUUGGGUAACAGAUGGAUGAAAUGAGUCCUGGUGUUGAGCAGCACACACAAAGAGAUGACUGUAGUUCAGAGUGACAUAUUAUGUAUUUUAUAAUGAUCUGGAGGAGAGGAGCUCAAAGGCUUCAAACAAAGAAAUGAUAAGGAAAGGGAAAUGCUAAUUACCCUGAUUUGAUCUGCACAUGCUAUAUGCAUGUAUUGAAAUAUUACACUGAAAAACGAAUACAUGUUAAUCAAAAAGAAACUAAUGAAAAUCUAAAAAUAAAACUUAGCUGACACCAAUAUUUUAAAUAAUAAAAAUUAUAUUGGGAAUUUACCUGGACUGAAUGGGUGGAUUUAUUUAAGUGGUUAAAAGGAUUGCAGAAUUUAAAUGAGAUGAUGGAUUUAACUAAACUGUCUAGAAAAGAAAGUGUCAGAAGAAACAUGUACAGAGGGGGAAUCAUUUGAAUGUGUCUGUCAGAGUUCUAAAUAAAUACCAAGAGUCCAUAUAAACUCAGAUUGCCUUUUAAGUUUGUGCUUAAUUUUAUGUCCUCAUUUGAUUAUCACAGAUUUAAAUUAUGUAUCUAAAGUGUUAGUAAAAAAAAAAAAAACUCAGAACCUAAUGUGGGGUUAAAAUAGUUGAU
rnacentral:lncRNA from 1 species